rnacentral:lncRNA from 1 species
GUCCUCUCUGGGAGACAUCAGCAAAAUUAAACAUGGCAAAGGUAUCUGAUGCUUUAAUUAGCUGCAACCCAUUCAAGUAGAUCCUCAAAAGUGGAGACCAGUGUUUCUAUGUGAAAUCUAUUGUUGGGGUGGAUUUUUCCUAUUCAUCUCCCAUUCAUAGCCCACUCUUUUCCUCUCUUCAUUAAUUAUAGCUAUCACAAGUAGUCCAAUGCAAUCUACUUACUUUCUAAUCUCAUCCACUUUGAGAUAUUCAACAAAUAUCUUCCCACCAGAAAAUUUCUUUUCCUUCCUUCCUUUCUCUUUCUUUUUUCUUUCUCUCUUUCUUUCUCUUUCUUUCUUUCUUUCUUUCUUUCUUUCUUUCUUUCUUUCUUUCUUUCUUUCUCUCUCUUUCUUUCUAUCUUCUUUCCUUCCUUCUAUCCCUCCUUCCUUCCUUUCUUUUUAAACCUGUACUUUCUCUCAAUAUAAUUUCUAAAACAGAAGAGUGGCAAGGGCUAUGCAAUAAGUUAAAUGACUUGCCCAGAGUCACACAGCUAGGAAAUAUCUUGGAUCAGAUUUGAAUACAGCUGCUCACAACUCCAGGCCUGAUGUUCUGUCCACUUUUCUACCAAUUGCCUUUACCUGAAAAUUGAAUUUUGAGAUUGCAGAUGACUACUGAAAGACUCCAGAAGUCAUCUAGUUCAGUUUCCACAUCAAAAAUUAAAGAAUAUCUGAAAUGUAUAGAACUGAAUACUUAUAGUUUAUAUCCCCUCAAACUGGGAUUAUGAAAACUACUCCUUGGUUCAUGAUAUAAUUUGGGUCAGCAACCAUUCAAAACAAUAGUCCAUGAGCUCUUACCAUUGCUUUUUAAAAUUUUUUUUGCUAAAUCAAACUAGGCAACACAUUGUUUCAAGGGGGAAAAAAACAGUUAAAAGAGAAGAACAAGUUAAAUCCCAAAGAAAACCCCUUCCAUUCUGCCAAGGGCACACUCACAGUCUCAUAAAUUCCCAUGCCAUUAAUGGGUGAAAGAACAUACUCUAUCACAAUAAUUUUUUGAUCUCUGAAUUUCAAAGAAGCAAAAGGUCGUUAGAAUCCCUAAGAAGUCAUUUAGUCAGGACAGCUAGGUGGAUCAGUGAACAGAGAACCAAGCCUGGAGACUAGAGGUCCUGAGUUCAAAUAUGGCCUCAGAUACUUCCUAGCUAUAUAACCUUAGUCAAGUCACUUAGCCCCAAUUGCCUAGCCUUUAGAAC